GACGAACGCUGGCGGCGUGCCUAACACAUGCAAGUCGAGCGGAAAGGCCUCCUUCGGGAGGUACUCGAGCGGCGAACGGGUGAGUAACACGUGGACAACCAACCCUUCACAUCGGGAUACCCCGGGGAAACUCGGAUCAAUACCGGAUAAUGCGCGACGCUGUUGGGCGUCACACCAAAGGUAGCUUCGGCCUCUGGUGAAGGACGGGUCCGCGGCCCAUUAGCUUGUUGGUGGGGUAAUGGCCUACCAAGGCAACGAUGGGUAGCUGGUCUGAGAGGAUGAUCAGCCACACUGGGACUGAGAUACGGCCCAGACUCCUACGGGAGGCU
rnacentral:rRNA from 1 species